GACGAACGCUGGCGGCGUGCUUAACACAUGCAAGUCGAACGGUGAUGCUCCAGCUUGCUGGAGUGGAUCAGUGGCGAACGGGUGAGUAACACGUGAGCAACCUGCCCCAGACUCUGGAAUAAGCGCUGGAAACGGCGUCUAAUACUGGGUACGAAACUGGCCCGCAUGGGCAUGGUUUGGAAAGUUUUUCGGUUUGGGAUGGGCUCGCGGCCUAUCAGCUUGUUGGUGAGGUAAUGGCUCACCAAGGCGACGACGGGUAGCCGGCCUGAGAGGGCGACCGGCCCCACUGGGACUGAGACACGGCCCAGACUCCUACGGGAGGCAGCAGUGGGGAAUAUUGCACAAUGGGCGAAAGCCUGAUGCAGCGACGCCGCGUGAGGGAUGACGGCCUUCGGGUUGUAAACCUCUUUCAGCAGGGAAGAAGCGAAAGUGACGGUACCUGCAGAAGAAGCACCGGCUAACUACGUG
rnacentral:rRNA from 1 species